rnacentral:rRNA from 1 species
UGAGUAACCUGCCCUUAACUCUGGGAUAAGCCUGGGAAACUGGGUCUAAUACCGGAUAUGACUCCUCAUCGCAUGGUGGGGGGUGGAAAGCUUUUUGUGGUUUUGGAUAGACUCGCGGCCUAUCAGCUUGUUGGUGAGGUAAUGGCUCACCAAGGCGACGACGGGUAGCCGGCCUGAGAGGGUGACCGGCCACACUGGGACUGAGACACGGCCCAGACUCCUACGGGAGGCAG